UGAGGUAUAGCUCAGUGAUAGAGUGUCUGCUUCACAUGUACAAGACCACAAGUUCAAUCCCUAAUACCACAA
rnacentral:tRNA from 1 species